AUUCUCUGAAGCAAAUGAUCUACUCCAAAUUUGGUAAGGAGAAGCAUUUCGAAGGAAAUAGCGUUCACUACAAUAAAUCAUUAAAGGUCAUACUUUAUUCAAUGAAAAAAGUGGGUUUUAUAACAGUGUAAUAAGGAGUAGCAACCACCAACUAAAUACAAUAAAGUUUUGUCAGUAAAUAAAUUAUAUACUACAAUCA